rnacentral:rRNA from 1 species
CGCGCAGGCGGCUCUUCAAGUCAGGCGUGAAAGCCCCGGGCUUAACCUGGGAAUUGCGCUUGGGACUGGAGGGCUUGAGUACGGGAGAGGAGAGUGGAAUUCCCAGUGUAGAGGUGAAAUUCGUAGAUAUUGGGAAGAACACCGGUGGCGAAGGCGGCUCUCUGGACCGUAACUGACGCUGAGGCGCGAAAGCGUGGGGAGCAAACA